rnacentral:rRNA from 2 species
AGACCCGAAACCCGGUGAUCUAGCCAUGGGCAGGUUGAAGGUUGGGUAACACUAACUGGAGGACCGAACCGACUAAUGUUGAAAAAUUAGCGGAUGACCUGUGGCUGGGGGUGAAAGGCCAAUCAAACCGGGAGAUAGCUGGUUCUCCCCGAAAGCUAUUUAGGUAGCGCCUCGUGAAUUCAUCUCCGGGGGUAGAGCACUGUUUCGGCUAGGGGGCCAUCCCGGCUUACCAACCCGAUGCAAACUGCGAAUACCGGAGAAUGUUAUCACGGGAGACACACGGCGGGUGCUAACGUCCGUCGUGAAGAGGGAAACAACCCAGACCGCCAGCUAAGGUCCCAAAGUCAUGGUUAAGUGGGAAACGAUGUGGGAAGGCCCAGACAGCCAGGAUGUUGGCUUAGAAGCAGCCAUCAUUUAAAGAAAGCGUAAUAGCUCACUGGUCGAGUCGGCCUGCGCGGAAGAUGUAACGGGGCUAAACCAUGCACCGAAGCUGCGGCAGCGACACUCAGGUGUUGUUGGGUAGGGGAGCGUUCUGUAAGCCUGUGAAGGUGGCCUGUGAGGGUUGCUGGAGGUAUCAGAAGU